rnacentral:rRNA from 1 species
GACGAACGCUGGCGGCGUGCUUAACACAUGCAAGUCGAACGGAAAGGCCCUGCUUUUGUGGGGUGCUCGAGUGGCGAACGGGUGAGUAACACGUGAGUAACCUGCCCUUGACUUUGGGAUAACUUCAGGAAACUGGGGCUAAUACCGGAUAGGAGCUCCUGCUGCAUGGUGGGGGUUGGAAAGUUUCGGCGGUUGGGGAUGGACUCGCGGCUUAUCAGCUUGUUGGUGGGGUAGUGGCUUACCAAGGCUUUGACGGGUAGCCGGCCUGAGAGGGUGACCGGCCACAUUGGGACUGAGAUACGGCCCAGACUCCUGCGGGCGGCAGCAGUGGGGAAUAUUGCACAAUGGGCGGAAGCCUGAUGCAGCAACGCCGCGUGCGGGAUGACGGCCUUCGGGUUGUAAACCGCUUUCGCCUGUGACGAAGCGUGAGUGACGGUAAUGGGUAAAGAAGCACCGGCUAACUACGUG